rnacentral:rRNA from 1 species
AUUGAACGCUGGCGGCAGGCCUAACACAUGCAAGUCGAGCGAGCGGCGGGCGCGUGAGUAAUGUAUGGGGACUCCCCGAUAGAGGGGGAUAACUACUGGAAACGGUAUCUCUUACCGCAUACUAUCGGAUAAUCCAUAUGGGAUUAGCUAGUAGGUGGGGUAAUGGCGCACCUAGGCGACGAUCCCUAGCUGGUCUGAGAGGAUGAUCAGCCACACUGGAACUGAGACACGGCCCAGACUCCUACGGAGGCAGCAGUGGGGAAUAUUGCACAAUGGGCGCAAGCCUGAUGCAGCCAUGCCGCGUGUAUGAAGAAGGCCCUAGGGUUGUAAAGUACUUUCAGUCGGGAGGCGUUACCGACAGAAGAAGCACCGACUAACUCCGUGCCAGCAGCCGCGGUAAUUC